rnacentral:rRNA from 1 species
CAAGGUUGAAACUCAAAGGAAUUGACGGGGGCCCGCACAAGCAGUGGAGUAUGUGGUUUAAUUUGAAGGAACGCGAAGAACCUUACCAGGUCUAGACAUCCUCUUGAGCGGUGCUUAAUCGUACCUUCUCUUCGGAGCAGGAGAGACAGGUGGUGCAUGGUUGUCGUCAGCUCGCGUCGUGAGAGUGUUGGGUUAAGUGUCGCAACGAGCGCAACCCUUACCUUUAGUUGCUACGCAAGAGCACUCUAGAGGGACUGCCGUUGAUAAACCGGAGGAAGGUGGGGAGGACGUCAAAUCAUCAUGCCCCUUAUGACCUGGGCUACACGCGUGCUACAAUGGCGCAAACAGAGGGAAGCGGACCGGUGACGGCGAGCGAAUCCCAAAAAGUGCGUCCCAGUUCGGAUCGUAGUGUGCAACUCGACUACAUGAAGCCGGAAUCGCUAGUAAUCGCGGAUCAGAAGGCCGCCGUGAAUACGUUCUGCGGGUCUUGUACACACCGCCCGUCACCCCAUGGGAGCCGGAAAUGCCCGAAGUCACUGACCCAACCAAUAAGGAAGGAGCCGCCGAAGGCAGAUCUGGUGACUGGGGUGAAGUCGUAACAAGGUAGC